rnacentral:lncRNA from 1 species
GGGUUUAGGGUUACAAGGGUGUCCCCGGUUUUUGGGCAUCAUUAUUUUUGGAUUUUGACUUGACCUACCCCCCAUUUAUGGUGUCUAGGAUGUCAAUGGUAUAAUUCUUUUCCUAUACAAGUUUAUAGUUUGGAAGAUUUAGCUACUUUGACUUGGAGUUUAGGGUUUUGACUUUUGUCAUACAAGGUUUUUUGAAAUUUUUGAAAAGUCCAUUGGAUUUGUUUGAGGGUUGCCAAUUCUAAAUAUGGGCUUGAAGUUUUGAAAAGGUGCAUAUAUUUGUAGGUAUUAAGUGUUUGACUAUUUUGACUUUUGAGUUGACUUUGCAUAUGAAUAGGAAUUUUGAAGUUUUG